ACUCCUACGGGUGGCUGCAGUGGGGAAUAUUGGACAAUGGGUGGAAGCCUGAUCCAGCCAUCCCGCGUGCAGGAAGACGGCCCUAUGGGUUGUAAACUGCUUUUGUAUAGGGAUAGAUCAUCUUACGAGAUAGGAUGUUGAAGGUACUAUACGAAUAAGCAUCGGCUAACUCCGUGCCAGCAGCCGCGGUAAUACGGAGGAUGCGAGCGUUAUCCGGAUUCAUUGGGUUUAAAGGGUCCGUAGGCGGGCUAAUAAGUCAGUGGUGAAAUCUCACAGUUCAACUGUGAAAUUGCCAUUGAUACUGUUAGUCUUGAGUGAGUUUGAUGUUGCUGGAAUGUGUAGUGUAGCGGUGAGAUGCAUAGAUAUUACACGGAACACCGAAUGCGAAGGCAGGUAACAAAGACUUAACUGACGCUGAUGGACGAAGGCGUGGGGAGCGAACAGGAUUAGAUACCCUGGUAGUCCACGCAGUAAACGAUGCUAACUCGUUUUCGGGGUGAAGAACUUCGGAGACCAAGCGAAAGUGAUAAGUUAGCCACCUGGGGAGUACGUUCGCAAGAAUGAAACUCAAAGGAAUUGACGGGGGCCCGCACAAGCGGUGGAGCAUGUGGUUUAAUUCGAUGAUACGCGAGGAACCUUACCAAGGCUUAAAUGCAUUUUGACGUACCCUGAAAGGGGUAUUUCUUCGGACAGGAUGCAAGGUGAUGCAUGGAUGUCGUCAGCUCGUG
rnacentral:rRNA from 1 species